rnacentral:misc_RNA from 1 species
AUGUGCUGCAAGAAAUCCACUUCAUACAUAAUAAUUCUUGACCGCUUUCGCUCUCUACUUGUUUUCUGUUAGAGUUUAAGAUAUGAUUUCCAGCCAGUUAAAACCACUCACGAACUUAAUUGUUCACUAUCAUAUUCACUGAAUUACUGAUACUUGCUAUUUUGUGCAUCUGAUAUAGAUAUUUGCCAUCAGCAGUUAUAUAAAUAUGCUAGACCACUUAAGAGUUCUAGAUCGCUACAACAUAUUAGCAUUGUUAGUAUAAUUACAGCAAUUAGCAUGAU